AGAUGAACUUCUUCCCGAAGAACGCAAGCUCCACAUCGGCAGAGAUCAUGUUACCUUUCUUAUUCUACACCAGUGUUGGAACAGUGUCUGACAUAGUCACUCAAGCUCUUUUCAGAGUUUCCAUUCCUGGAUGAAGAGUCCAGAGUUCUGUCAACGUCUCUGACGUGUCAUGGUUCAUCUUCCGUGCGUUUAUAGAAUGCUGUGGUUUUGCACUGCUGCCUGGGUUUCGGCCUUCUGCUUCUCCAUUGAAUUUCCUGUACCUUAUGCUGUAGAAGCAACAGAAUAUUCUCCAAUGUGCCCAAAGGUGCAAGUAAGGAAGUUUCUACUCCUCAGCAUCAACAUUCUACUAAGAUGACUGGUUUGAGGCAAUGAAAGGACAAAAAUACUGCAGCUUUCUGAAAUUAUUUAUGUACAG